rfam:Toxocara canis scaffold580, whole genome shotgun sequence.
GCCUUCUUAGCUCAGCCGGUAGAGCAUCAUACUUUUGAUCUGAUGGUGUGGGUUCGAGUCCCAGAAAAGGCG